GUCAGGAUGGCCGAGUGGUCUAAGGCGCCAGACUCAAGGUCUCACCUUCCUUCGGGAAUUCUGGUCUCCAGAUGGAGGCGUGGGUUCAAAUCCCACUCCUGACA
rnacentral:tRNA from 1 species